rnacentral:snoRNA from 1 species
AAGACUGUGCUUCAUAGGAUCAUUUCUAUAGGCAAGUUUUCACACUUCCUCUACGCAAAGUGGAGUAAUUCCUAUCCACGAUGAGGAGUCGGAGUGUCCGUCCUGGAGCGUGAAACUGGCGGACUCGGCUGCGUCUCUGACGCGCUGAUCUUGCCUUGAUGAUCGGUUCCUUUACAAGGGUCGGACACAUUCUGAGUGGU